rnacentral:rRNA from 1 species
ACGCUCGACACCUACGGGAGGCAGCAGUGGGGAAUAUUGGGCAAUGGGGGAAACCCUGACCCAGCAACGCCGCGUGAAGGAAGAAGGCCCUCGGGUUGUAAACUUCUUUUACCAGGGACGAAGGAAGUGACGGUACCUGGAGAAAAAGCCACGGCUAACUACGUGCCCGCAGCCGCGGUAAUCUGAGCGGGCUGGCAAGGC